rnacentral:rRNA from 1 species
UGAAGCAGCUUUAUCACUCUGCAACUCACCCUGGCAGCCCACUGAAACUAACCGGGUGUGAGCCUGACCAGUACCUGGAUGGGAGACCUCCUAGGAAAGCUAAGGUUGCUGCUGGAA